CCUACGGGAGGCAGCAGUGGGGAAUAUUGCACAAUGGGGGAAACCCUGAUGCAGCAACGCCGCGUGAAGGAAGAAGUAUUUCGGUAUGUAAACUUCUAUCAGCAGGGAAGAAAAUGACGGUACCUGACUAAGAAGCCCCGGCUAACUACGUGCCAGCAGCCGCGGUAAUACGUAGGGGGCAAGCGUUAUCCGGAUUUACUGGGUGUAAAGGGAGCGUAGGCGGCUUAGCAAGUCAGAAGUGAAAGCCCGGGGCUCAACCCCGGGACUGCUUUUGAAACUGUUGUACUGGAGUGCAGGAGGGGUAAGCGGAAUUCCUAGUGUAGCGGUGAAAUGCGGAGAUAUUAGGAGGAACACCAGUGGCGAAGGCGGCUUACUGGACUGUAAAUGACGCUGAGGCUCGAAAGCGUGGGGAGCAAACAGGAUUAGAUACCCGAGUAGUC
rnacentral:rRNA from 1 species